GGUGGCCGUGGAGGAAUCGUCCCGUUGAGCAAUGACCCCGGUGACGCGGCUGAGGGCUAUAAAAGCAAAAGUUGUGGCCGGUCCAGCAGGAGUUAGCGACAGGGAGGGAUGCGCCCCUGGGUGUAGUUGUGGGGGAGGAAGUGGCUAGCUCAGGGCUUCAGGAGACAGACAGGGAGAGAUGACUGAGUUAGAUGAGACUAGGGGGCGGGCUGGGGGUGCGAGAAGGAAGCUUGGCAAGGAGACUAGGUCUAGGGGGACCACAGUGGGGCAGGCUGCAUGGAAAAUAUCCGCAGGGGCCCCCAGGCAGAACAGCCACGCUCCAGGCCAGGCUGUCCCUACUGCCUGGUGGAGGGGAAACUUGACCUCUGGGAGGGCGCCGCUCUUGCAUGGCUGAGCGAGCCCGGGUGCGCUGGUCUGUGUGGAAGGAGGAAGGCAGGGAGAGGUAGAAGGGGUGGAGGAGUCAGGAGGAAUAGGCCGCAGCAGCCCUGGAAAUGAUCAGGAAGGCAGGCAGUGGGUGCAGGGCUGCAGGAGGGCCGGGAGGGCUAAGCUUCAACUUGUCCAUGCCAGCAGCCCCUUUUUUUCCAGACCAAGGGCUGUGAACCCGCCUGGGGAUGAGGCCUGGUCUUGUGGAACUGAACUUAGCUCGACGGGGCUGACCGCUCUGGCCCAGGGUGGUGGCAGUGCUCCUUUUGGACUUUUCUCUAGGUUUGGCGCUAAACUCUUCUUGUGAGCUCACUCCACCCCUUCUUCCUCCCUUUAACUUAUCCAUUCACUUAAAACAUUACCUGGUCAUCUGGUAAGCCCGGGACAGUAGCCGAGUGGCUGUUGGAGUCGGUAUUGUUGGUAAUGGUGGAGGAAGAGAGGCCUUCCCGCUGAGGCUGGGGUGGGGCGGAUCAGUGUUGCUUGCCUGCAGAGAGGGUGGGGAGUGAGUGUGCACCCUUGGGUGGGCCUGCAGCCAUCCAGCUGAAAGUUACAAAAAUGCUUCAUGGACCGUGGUUUGUUACUAUAGUGUUCCUCAUGGCGAGCAGAUGGAACCGGGAGACAUGGAGCCCCUGGCCAGUGUGAGUCCUAGCAGUGCAGGAGGGGAGACCCUGGAGGAGAGAGCCCGCCUCAAUUGAUGCCUGCAGAUUGAAUUUCCAGAGGCUUAGGAGGAGGAAGUUCUCCAAUGUUCUGUUUCCAGGCCUUGCUCAGGAAGCCCUGUAUUCAGGAGGCUACCAUUUAAAGUUUGCAGAUGAGCUUAUGGGGGGCAAUCUUAAAAAGUCCACAGCAGAUGCAUCCGGCUCGAGGGGCCAUCAGCUUUGAAUAAAUGCUUGUUCCAGAGCCCAUGAAUGCCAGCAGGCACCCCUCCUUUCCUGGGGUAAAGGUUUUCAGAUGCCGCAUCUUCUAAAUUGAGCCUCCGGUCAUACUAGUUUUGUGCUUGGAACCUUGCUUCAAGAAGAUCCCUAAGCUGUAGAACAUUUUAACGUUGAUGCCACAACGCAGAUUGAUGCCUUGUAGACGGAGCUUGCAGAUGGAGCCCCGUGACCUCUCACCUACCCACCUGUUUGCCUGCCUUCUUGUGCGUUGCUCGGAGAAGUUCUUAGCCUGAUGAAAUAACUUGGGGCGUUGAAGAGCUGUUUAAUUUUAAAUGCCUUAGACUGGGGAUAUAUUAGAGGAAGCAGAUUGUCAAAUUAAGGGUGUCAUUGUGUUGUGCUAAACUCUGGGAGGGUACAAGUUGGUCAUUCCUAAAUCUGUGUGUGAGAAAUGGCAGGUCUAGUUUGGGCAUUGUGAUUGCACCGCAGAUUACUAGGAGAAGGGAAUGGUGGGUACACCGGUAGUGCUCUUUUGUUCUUGCUUCGUUUUUUUAAACUUGAACUUUACUUCGUUAGAUUUCAUAAUACUUUCUUGGCAUUCUAGUAAGAGGACCCCGAGGUGGGAGUUGUGGGGGACGGGAAGAAGGGGACAGCUUGGCACUGGUCCCGUGGGCCUUGCAGUGUGGGGGAUGGGGGUAUGCAGCUUGGCACUGGUACUGGGAGGGAUGAGGGUGAAGAAGGGGAGAGGGUUGGUUAGAGAUACAGUGUGGGUGGUGGGGGUGGUAGGAAAUGCAGGUUGAAGGGAAUUCUCUGGGGCUUUGGGGAAUUUAGUGCGUGGGUGAGCCAAGAAAAUACUAAUUAAUAAUAGUAAGUUGUUAGUGUUGGUUAAGUUGUUGCUUGGAAGUGAGAAGUUGCUUAGAAACUUUCCAAAGUGCUUAGAACUUUAAGUGCAAACAGACAAACUAACAAACAAAAAUUGUUUUGCUUUGCUACAAGGUGGGGAAGACUGAAGAAGUGUUAACUGAAAACAGAUGACACAGAGUCACCAGUUUUCCGAGAACCAAAGGGAGGGGUGUGUGAUGCCAUCUCACAGGCAGGGGAAAUGUCUUUACCAGCUUCCUCCUGGUGGCCAAGACAGCCUGUUUCAGAGGGUUGUUUUGUUUGGGGUGUGGGUGUUAUCAAGUGAAUUAGUCACUUGAAAGAUGGGUGUCAGACUUGCAUACGCAGCAGAUCAGCAUCCUUCGCUGCCCCUUAGCAACUUAGGUGGUUGAUUUGAAACUGUGAAGGUGUGAUUUUUUCAGGAGCUGGAAGUCUUAGAAAAGCCUUGUAAAUGCCUAUAUUGUGGGCUUUUAACGUAUUUAAGGGACCACUUAAGACGAGAUUAGAUGGGCUCUUCUGGAUUUGUUCCUCAUUUGUCACAGGUGUCUUGUAAUUGAAAAUCAUGAGCGAAGUGAAAUUGCAUUGAAUUUCAAGGGAAUUUAGUAUGUAAAUCGUGCCUUAGAAACACAUCUGUUGUCUUUUCUGUGUUUGGUCGAUAUUAAUAAUGGCAAAAUUUUUGCCUAUCUAGUAUCUUCAAAUUGUAGUCUUUGUAACAACCAAAUAACCUUUUGUGGUCACUGUAAAAUUAAUAUUUGGUAGCAGACAGAAUCCAUGUACCUUUGCUAAGGUUAGAAUGAAUAAUUUAUUGUAUUUUUAAUUUGAAUGUUUGUGCUUUUUAAAUGAGCCAAGACUAGAGGGGAAACUAUCACCUAAAAUCAGUUUGGAAAACAAGAGCUAAAAAGGGAAGGGGAUGGGGAUUGUGGGGAGAGAGUGGGCGAGGUGCCUUUACUACAUGUGUGAUCUGAAAACCCUGCUUGGUUCUGAGCUGCAUCUAUUGAAUUGGUAAAGUAAUACCAAUGGCUUUUUAUCAUUUCCUUCUUCCCUUUAAAUUUCACUUGAAAUUUUAAAAAUCAUGGUUAUUUUUAUCGUUGGGAUCUUUCUGUCUUCUGGGUUCCAUUUUUUAAAUGUUUAAAAAUAUGUUGACAUGGUAGUUCAGUUCUUAAUGACUUGGGGAUGAUGCAAACAAUUACUGUCGUUGGGAUUUAGAGUGUAUUAGUCACGCAUGUAUGGGGAAGUAGUCUCGGGUAUGCUGUUGUGAAAUUGAAACUGUGAAAGUAGAUGGUUGAAAGUACUGGUAUGUUGCUCUGUAUGGUAAGAACUAAUUCUGUUACGUCAUAUACAUAAUUACUAAUCACUUUUCUUCCCCUUUACAGCACAAAUAAAGGUUUGAGUUCUAAACUCA